GAAGACAGCUCUACAACACUGAGUAAUGAAUAGUCAGGUAGAGAGGCGUAUGUGUCUGGGAAAGAUGCCUUCAACCACCUGCAUCAGGAUGUCAUUCAGUGCAUCAAUUCUGUGCUCCAAAGAGCAAAGAUGAUGAGCCAAACUCUGAUGCUCAUGGCACAUAUAGUCUGUUGGCAAGAGCUACAGGACUUCAUAAAAAGGUAUGUCAAUGUUGAAAAUAAACACCUUCAGAAACAAGCAAGAAUGGGCUUGUCAGGUACAAUGCACUUCUUCAAGACUUUCAACACCUGCAAUGAACUCAAGCAGUAUGUUCCAAUGAUUUCCAGAGAUGACACAAGUUUUGACUGUGUUAAAACCAUUUCAACACUUGAGGGGAUGGAAGCUCUUGCUUUGAAGUUUCUCCUGGAAAGACCAAUUCAAUUUGCACAGAUUUUCCUGAAGAAGUAUUUCAAAAGAGAGGAUGAACAAAUGGAAAAUCAAAUGAAAGAGAUUGAAGAAAUGUUCCAGAACCUUCCCAAAGACCAGGACAUGCAGAAGAUUGUGAUUAACAAAGCCUUUCUGUACCUUCAACAUCUGGUGCAGAGCAACCAUGGGAAGCCGGUGAAGAGAUGGGAUUAA
rnacentral:lncRNA from 1 species